GGGCCCGUAGCUCAGUUUGGUUAGAGCAGCGGACUCAUAAUCCGUCGGUCGUAGGUUCAAGUCCUACCGGGCCCA
rnacentral:tRNA from 2 species